GUUCGUAUUGCCAAGUCUUUAUAUAUAGUUUUCUAUGCUGUGUUUUGUGUACUGUUGUUUGUCUUUUCGUCGUUUUUUCGUUUUUGUUUUUGUUUUUGCCAAGGCAUUGUAAGCUUGUUUACGACUUAUGAGUUUGAAUAUCCCUUUGCUGUCUUUAGCUUCUCUAUUACUGCCUAAUAACAUAUCGACAAUGACUGUAUACAUGGACAUUAUAAAGUUCC
rnacentral:lncRNA from 1 species